GUACAUACCUGGACGGGGUCAAUGAGUGAUCAAGAAGGCUCAUGGCCUAGGUUAGUGACCUCCAUUGCACACUUGGGAGGGGUGCUUAGCCUAAGAUCUCCCCUUUGUGGGUGCAUCUACGUCAUAAUUUGUUGCUGCUGGGGUGUGCGCUUGCGCCGCCCCUAC
rnacentral:snRNA from 1 species